AUAGAGUCAAGUGAAUAAGUGCAUCAGGUGGAUGCCUUGGCGAUGAUAGGCGACGAAGGACGUGUAAGCCUGCGAAAAGCGUGGGGGAGCUGGCAAUAAAGCUUUGAUCCCGCGAUGUCCGAAUGGGGAAACCCACUGCAUACUGUGCAGUAUCCUAAGCUGAAUACAUAGGCUUAGAGAAGCGAACCCGGAGAACUGAACCAUCUAAGUACCCGGAGGAAAAGAAAUCAACCGAGAUUCCGCAAGUAGUGGCGAGCGAACGCGGAGGAGCCUGUACAUGAUAAUUGUUGAGAUAGAAGAACAAGCUGGGAAGCUUGACCAUAGUGGGUGAUAGUCCCG
rnacentral:rRNA from 1 species